rnacentral:rRNA from 1 species
GAUGAACGCUAGCGACAGGCCUAACACAUGCAAGUCGAGGGGCAGCAUAAAGGUAGCAAUACUUUGGUGGCGACCGGCGCACGGGUGAGUAACACGUAUGCAACCUACCUGUAAGAGGGGAAUAACCCGGAGAAAUUCGGACUAAUACCGCAUAAUACUGAUUAUCUGCAUGGAUUGAUCAGUUAAACAUUUAUGGCUUACAGAUGGGCAUGCGUAUGAUUAGAUAGUUGGUAGGGUAACGGCCUACCAAGUCAACGAUCAUUAGGGGUUCUGAGAGGAAGGUCCCCCACACUGGUACUGAGACACGGACCAGACUCCUACGGGAGGCAGCAGUGAGGAAUAUUGGUCAAUGGGCGAGAGCCUGAACCAGCCAAGUCGCGUGAAGGAGAAGGUUCUAUGGAUUGUAAACUUCUUUUGUAAGGGAAUAAAAGGUUACGUGUAACUUAUUGUAUGUACUUUACGAAUAAGGAUCGGCUAACUCCGUGCCAGCAGCCGCGGU